rnacentral:rRNA from 1 species
UACGUAGGGGGCAAGCGUUGUCCGGAAUCAUUGGGCGUAAAGCGCGUGUAGGCGGCCCGAUAAGUCCGCUGUAAAAGUCCAGGGCUCAACCCUGGAAAGCCGGUGGAUACUGUCGGGCUCGAGUCCGGAAGAGGCGAGUGGAAUUCCUGGUGUAGCGGUGAAAUGCGCAAAUAUCAGGAGGAACACCGAUGGCGAAGGCAGCUCGCUGGGACGGUACUGACGCUGAGACGCGAAAGCGUGGGGAGCAAACAGG